UAUGGCCAUACCACCCUGAACACGCCCGAUCUCGUCUGAUCUUGGAAGCUAAGCAGGGUCAGGCCUGGUUAGUACUUGGAUGGGAGAAAGAAAGAAAGUACUUGGUUAAACACAUAC
ensembl:rRNA 5S_rRNA 5S ribosomal RNA